GGUAAUUCCAGCUCCAAUAGUUUAUAUUAAAGUUGUUGUGGUUAAAAAGCUCGUAGUUGGAACCUGGCAUGCAGGGGGCGGUCCAUUAUUUGAUGUGACUGCCCCAUUUGCGUGUUUUUUUGGGCGGAAUUCCUUGGGUGCUCUUCACCGAGUGUCCUUGGAGGCCGCCAGGUUUACUUUGAAAAAAUUAGAGUGCUCCAAGCAGGCUCUACACGCCUGAAUAUUCGUGCAUGGAAUAAUGGAAUAGGACGUCGUUCCUAUUUUGUUGGUUUUAGGGAUUCGACGUAAUGAUUAAUAGGGACAGCCGGGGGCAUUAGUAUGCAGACGACAGAGGUGAAAUUCUUGGACCGUCUGCCGACUAACUACUGCGAAAGCAUUUGCCAAGAGUGUUUUCAUUAAUCAAGAACGAAAGUUAGAGGUUCGAAGGCGAUCAGAUACCGCCCUAGUUCUAACCAUAAACGAUGCCAGCUAGCGAUCUGCAGGCGUUUUUUUUGUAGGCCCUGCAGGAAGCUUCCGGGAAACCAAAGCGUUUGGGUUCCAGGGGAAGUAUGGUUGCAAAGCUGAAACUUAAAGGAAUUGACGGAAGGGCACCACCAGGCGUGGAGCUUGCGGCUUAAUUUGACUCAACACUGGAAAUCUCACCAGGCCCGGACACCGGCAGGAUUGACAGAUUGAGAGCUCUUUCUCGAUUCGGUGGGUGGUGGUGCAUG
rnacentral:rRNA from 2 species